AGUAUUCUGUAAGGACAUUUGUGUUUAUAUAUAUCUGUCAUAUGUAUAUAUAUAUCAUAUAUAUAUCAGUCAUAUAUAUAUCUCACACAUAUAUGUAAGUGAUUUUAUGCUAUGUAUCUUUUUUUCUUCUGAUAUCUUUUUCUGGUUUCAAUGUUAGUUUAAUGCUAGCUUCAUCAAAUAAGUUGGGAAGUGGUCUUUUACUCAUAUUUUGAAAGAAUUUGUGUAGAAUUACUAUAAAUUGUUAAGGAGAAUUUUUGUAGAAUUUGCUAGUGAAUAUAUUUAUGUUUUGAAUUUUCUUUUGUGGAAGGUUUUUACUACAAAUUCCACUUACUUAGUAGAAUUAAGAUUAUUCAAGUUAUCUAAUUUUUUACUGAGUAAUUCUGGUCUCAUUAUGUCUUUCAAGGGAAUUUUUUUCAUUUUUUAAUAUCAUUUUAUAGCUUUAUAUUAAAAGUUCUGAAUAUGAGUGGCUCUCUGCCUGCUCCCUUUCACCACCUUAAUAUCUUAAGUGAAUAAUGCAUUCUCAUCAAGAGGGUUAAAACUAAUCAUCAGCUGAUGGCAGUUCACUUUUUGAAUUACAAAAAACUUUCCCCCUCAGGCCAUUUAUUUUACUCAUAAGCAACCUAACUAUAUUAUAGAUUCUAAAAUAUUAUCUCCAAAGCCCCUAGAAGAUGCAUACAUUUAGUCCAAAAGGUUUAAUAACUCCCCAAGCUGAUAUUUCCCUUUCUCCUUUGAUAUUUCCAUAAUUUGGAGUGCCCAUUGUCUGUUUUAUUUCAUAUUGGGACAAGCUGAACAGGGACUAAGGUGAAGGCAGAGAGGCAUUCAGGGCAAAUCGUUUAAGGAGGUACUACAAAUACAAGGUCAACACUUGCAGGAAACUAAGAAAGAGUGUCUCCUUAAAAUUUGUGUCCUAGGUGUCUUAUCUAGUUCUGGCCUUUUUAAUGUGAAUUCUUUUUUUUUUUUUUUUUGAGAUGAAGUCUGGCUCUGUCACCCAGGCUAGAGUGCACUGGUGCGAUCUCGCCUGACUGCAACCUCCACCUCCUGGGUUCAAGGGAUUCUCCUGCCUCAGCCUCCCAAGUAGCUGGGAUUACAGGCAUGCACCACCACACCUGGCUAAUUUUUGUAUUUUUAGUGGAGACAGGGUUUCACCAUGUUGGCCAGGCUGGUCUUGAACUCCUGACCUGAGGUGAUCCACCCACCUCGGCCUCCCAAAGUGCUGUGAUUACAGGCAUCAACCACUGCACCCAGCUUGAAUUCUUUGUGUCCUCUAAAAACUCAAAAUUAUUUUUUAGUAUUUUACCAGAAACAUGGGAGGCAUCAAUUUAAAAGGAAUGCACAGAAGACACUUCAUCACUACUUCCAACCAAGCAGUAAUGGGCUGGAGAUCCUAGAUUAAGCUACUGGCAGAUCUGGUGUCUGGCGAGGGCUCUGCUCCUGGUUUGCAGAUGGGUGUCCUCUCAUUAUGCCCUCGCAUGGUUGAGAGAAAAAUCAUCGUUCUUCUGUUUCUUCUUAGAAGGGCACUAAUUUUAUUCAUGAGCUCCAUCCUCAUGACCUAAUCACAGCCUAAAGGCCUCACCUCCUAAUACUAUUAUAUUGGGGGUUUAGAUUGCAACGUAUGUAUUUGGGGGGGUCGGCACAAACAUUCAGCUCAUAACAUCUUGUGAAUCACUUUUAAUUGCAAUGUUGGAACAUUGCUUUAAAAUGAUGCAGGUCUUAUUUCCAUAUAUGCAUUAGGCAGUUCUUGCAUUGCUAUAAAGAAAUACAGGAAACUGGGUAAUUUAUAAAUAAAAGAGGUUUAAUUGGCUCACAGUUCUGUAGGCUUUACAGGAAGCAUGGUGGUGCUCAGAUCUGCUUGGCAUCUAGGGAGGCCUCAGGAAGCUUCCAUUCAUGGCAGAAGGUGAAGACAGAGUAGGUAUGUCGUGUAGUAAAAGCAGGAAUACGCAAGAGACAGAGUGGGGGGCGGUGCCAAACACUUUUAAAUGACCACAUCUCAUAUGAAUUCAGGGCAAGAGCUCACUUAAUCACCAAGGGGUUGGCCCAAACCAUUCAUGAGGGAUCUGCCCCCAUUAUCCAAAUCCCUCUGCCAGUCUCCAACAUUAGGAGUUACACUUCAACACGAGAUUUGAGUGGGGACAAAUAUCCAAACUAUAUUAAGAAGAAACGCAGCAGUUCCCAAUUUUGUCUCUCAUCACCCUCCCACACACCAAAUCAUAUAUGUGAGGAGUACUUUUAUAUGCACAACUUGCCCUAUUUAGAACUGUUCUGGAAUGAGUGCAUUUCCCAUAGUACUAUCUAAAAUUCCAUCCCCUGCAGUUCCCUUCAAGAAACCACAUGACAGUAUCAAUAAUGCAUUGCAUUUUAGGAAUAAAGUUAAAUAUUUUCUAAUUUAUUUUAACCAUUAAUAAACUGUUCUUAACUCUUUUUAUAACAAUAAUUUUUAGAUCAGUUCACAAGUGAUUACAACACACACGGCAGCAAGAUGGAUAAUUGCUGUCCUAAUGCAUACAUUACACUAAACAUUAUUACAUACAAUGAUAUUGCCAAGGAUUUAAAAUUUUGAUCAGCAGUUUCAGGAAGCUAGGAGCUUUUAACUAAAUGGAUGAAUCAUGGAGAAGAGUCCCGCCAUUUCUCGUUCAAGAUUGGUGACUCAGUGUCAGUGGGACAUGAGACUUCUAUGAUCUGACCUUAGAAUGACCCCUUUUUAUGGUGGAACAAGGUUUUAAGCAAGGCCAUUCCCCUGGAGCCAUAAAGGAUUGACUAGGGAAGAUUGCACUGAGCUUUGCUAUGAACAGGGCUGCUGCAUUUUUGUGAUUUUUCCCCAGUCUGUGGUUUUUCCUGAGCCUGUAUCCAGACAGUGGUCAUUCCAAGUCCAGCUUUGCUGUCUGUUACAGCUUCUGUUUGACUAUGUCUUUAUACUCUUGCCUUAUUAAGUUAUAAAACUGUUUAUUGCUUUAUUGUCUCAGCUCAAAGGUGAAUAACAAAACCCCAAGCAUAUGUCAGCCUUGGAAAUUUAGUAUUGACCUUCCUGGGCCCUCAGUGCCUGCUCAUUUCCUAUACCUAGCAUUUACGUUUCCAAUGCUUCAUCUACACCUUCAUUCACUACUACCUAUAUGUCAUUUGCCUUAUUAUCUAUGGUACGUAUACUGAGUUCUAGUAAAAUAGUAUUUCAAGUGCAAGUUUACACAUUCCUUAUAUUAACUUUAAUUCAAUACUUGCCAUUUCUUUUUUGCUUCAGAACCAGGAGUUGAAAAUAUUUCCAUUUGUCUUUUAAAGAGGUUAUAAAAUUGUCACAAGGACAUGGGACAUGCUGGCUAUUUUUCCCUUUUUACUAUUUUAUAGCAUCCAAUUAGGUGGAUAAUAAAAUUCUUAUUUUUCCAAUGAGUAGUCCAAGACUUCACGAAUAAAAGUACCAUGCUUAAUGUCACACUACUAACAAGCGGCAGGACCAGUGUUUAAAUGUAAAUAUAUCUUAUUUCAAAAUUUGUUUGUUUUACCAAAUUUUGUAGCUCCUUCCAAGACUCCCAACCUUCACCUUUUCUUUCUAUCCCUAAGAAUACAUAUGAUUUUCACAUACGAAGUUCGUUUAUAACCUUUUGCUAAUUAAUUAGUGAAAAAAGAUGCAAUGAAUUUUGCAAAAUGUCAUGCAAAAAAUGAAGCAGGAACAGACAAUUAGGAAAUAUUAAACCAUGGUUAGUAGCAUUGCAUAUCAGCAUUGGUUUGAUUGUAAUUUCAUUGUUCUGGACUCUCGCUUGUUUAGUUGGUGUCCCUGAGGCCUGCAGUCCUUCCAGGUGCUGAGAGUGGAGCUUCCCAGGCCUUCAUCCUCUCCAGGACCUCAACCUUCCUCGUUCCAUGUACAGACAUAGAGCCCUUUCCACUUCCUUUUUGUAAGAAAUAGUAUUCUUUCCCACAGAUGUCCAGCUCACACCAGCCUGCUGCUUGCCUUUCACUGACCCCUUCGAUGGAUGCUACGGACUUGGAUCCACUGCCAAGGAAACACGUCACAGAGCAGUGUGUGGUUGGCAUACUAAGCUCCACCAAGAAAGAAGACAUCACCCAGAGUCAUGCUGUAUUAUCCAGAAUACUUAUGUGUCUCCAUACCAGAGAUUGACCACCCAAACUUCUUCAUUUAUAAAAAGCUUCUCCAAGUACUUGAUUGCUUGAAAUUGGACUAUAGUAGCUUCAAGAAACACUUAUAAACAUUAGCCAAUUACA
ensembl:lncRNA LINC01247 long intergenic non-protein coding RNA 1247